rnacentral:rRNA from 1 species
GACGAACGCUGGCGGCGUGCUUAACACAUGCAAGUCGAACGAUGACGACCGAGCUUGCUCGGUCUGAUUAGUGGCGAACGGGUGAGUAACACGUGAGCAACCUGCCCUUCACUCUGGGAUAACCUCGGGAAAUCGGGGCUAAUACCGGAUAUGAGCUCCUGUCGCAUGGCGGGUGUUGGAAAGUUUUUCGGUGAAGGAUGGGCUCGCGGCCUAUCAGUUUGUUGGUGAGGUAGUGGCUCACCAAGGCGAUGACGGGUAGCCGGCCUGAGAGGGCGACCGGCCACACUGGGACUGAGACACGGCCCAGACUCCUACGGGAGGCAGCAGUGGGGAAUAUUGCACAAUGGGCGAAAGCCUGAUGCGGCGACGCCGCGUGAGGGAUGACGGCCUUCGGGUUGUAAACCUCUUUCAGCAGGGAAGAAGCGAAAGUGACGGUACCUGCAGAAGAAGCGCCGGCUAACUACGUG